CGUCAAAGCUUUAUUAUUUUUAUUCUAUUAAUCUCUUAAUCUAUCCAAAACCCCUCACCGAUACUGAAUGAUCCCAUACUUUUAUGGAACUCUCAAUGUUAAAACUAGUAACAAGACACUAACUCUCUCUUACUAUGUAAGUAUACAUCAGAGCAGAAAAUCUACUGACCUUUAACAGCCAUAAACCAUAGCAACACCACAUCAAGAAAAUCCUACUUAAACAACUGUUAACCUAACACAAGAACAUAAAAAGAAAGAUUACAAUAAAAAGAAGGAACUCGGCAAAUUCUGAUUCCGCCUGUUUACCAAAAACAUCGCCUCCUGCUAACCUAUAGGAGGUCCAGCCUGCCCAGUGACCUAGUUUAACGGCCGCGGUAUCCUAACCGUGCGAAGGUAGCGUAAUCACCUGUUUUUUAAUUAAAGACCUGUAUCAAAGGCACCACGAGAAUCGCACUGUCUCCUUUUUCCAAUCAGUGAAACUAAUCUCCCCGUGAAAAGGCGAGGAUAACCAUACAAGACGAGAAGACCCUUUGAGCUUUAGAUAAAGUAAUAUCUUGCUUCACCCCUCCAACUUACAUAAAAUAGCAUACACAUUAUAAAUCUUCGUUGGGGCAACCACGGAGAAUAAAUUAACCUCCGAGCCGAACGGAACUUUCCUAAGCAGAAAGUCACAACUUUACGCAUCAAUAAAUUGACAUUAUGACCCAAUAUUUUGAUUAUCGAACCAAGUUACCCUAGGGAUAACAGCGCAAUCUACUUCGAGAGCCCAUAUCGACAAGUAGGCUUACGACCUCG
rnacentral:rRNA from 1 species